UUUGCAGGUUGGGUAGGUCCUAGGUAUAGGGGAGACUCUGCCGGAUUUUCGGCACGACUUAGGACGUAAUUGGUCUUUUUCUUUGUUUGUAUUGAGUCAGAUUAUAUUAAAUAAUUGUAAUAUAAUUGUCAGGUGAGCCGGGACAGCCUUCUUCCUCCGCCCCGCUGCCACAGUGAUUGUCGUCAAGUCUGCUACAGGAGGAUUUUAUUUUGGUUAACCUGCUUUUCUCCUUCGCAGGUUGUUUAUCAAUAUUUGUGUAAUUUUAUUUACUCCUAGAAUUUCCGCAUGUGUUAGAAGUAUUUAUUUGAUUAUGGUCUGUAAUAUUAUUAUCA